CAAAGGUUUGGUCCUGACUUUCUUAUCAGCUUUAGCUUGACUCACACAUGCAAGUUUCCGCGUUCCCGUGAAGAUGCCCUGCAGUUUCUUUUCUCAGAAACAAGGAGCCGGUAUCAGGCGCACCUACUGGUUGCCCACAACGCCUUGCUUUGCCACACCCCCAAGGGAAUCCAGCAGUGACAGACAUUAAGCAAUAAGCGACAGCUUGACUUAGUUAAAGUUAAGAGGGCCGGUAAAACUCGUGCCAGCCACCGCGGUUAUACGAGAGGCCCAAGUUGAUAACACACGGCGUAAAGAGUGGUUAAAUCAAUAUAUGCAACUAAAGCCGAACAACUUCACUACUGUUAUACGUUUUCGAAGCCCUGAAGCUCUAUUACGAAAGUAGCUUUAACAAUGUUGACUCCACGAAAGCUAGGGAACAAACUGGGAUUAGAUACCCCACUAUGCCUAGUCGUAAACUUAAAUGGUAUAUUACCUCAACCGUUCGCCAGGGUACUACGAGCAUUAGCUUAAAACCCAAAGGACUUGGCGGUGCUUUAGACCCCCCUAGAGGAGCCUGUUCUAGAACCGAUACUCCCCGUUAAACCUCACCCUUCCUUGUUUUACCCGCCUAUAUACCGCCGUCGUCAGCUUACCCUGUGAGGGCCCAAUAGUAAGCACAAUUAGACUACCUCAAAACGUCAGGUCGAGGUGUAGCGAAUGGAAGGGGAAGAAAUGGGCUACAUUCCUUAAUUAUAAGGAAUACGAACGGUGCAGUGAAACCUGUGCCAGAAGGAGGAUUUAGCAGUAAGCAGGAAGCAGAGAGUCCUACUGAAGUCGGCUCUAAAGCGCGCACACACCGCCCGUCACUCUCCCCAAGCUUUUAUUUUACAAUAACUAAUACAUGUUUUCAGCUAAGGGGAGGUAAGUCGUAACAUGGUAAGUGUACCGGAAGGUGUACUUGGAAUAAC
rnacentral:ncRNA from 1 species